rnacentral:rRNA from 1 species
CUGCAUGGCUGUCGUCAGCUCGUGUCGUGAGAUGUUCGGUUAAGUCCGCUAACGAGCGCAACCCUCGCUGUGUGUUAUAUGUGUCACACGGGACUGCCGGUCUUAAGCCGGAGGAAGGUGGGGAUGAUGUCAAGUCAGCAUGGCCUUUAUAUCCUGGGCUACACACACGCUACAAUGGCCAACACAAUAGGUUGCUAAGCCGCGAGGUGGCGCCAAUCCAUAAAGUUGGUCUCAGUUCAGAUUGUAGGCUGCAACCCGCCUGCAUGAAGAUGGAGUUGCUAGUAACCGCAGGUCAGCUAUACUGCGGUGAAUACGUUCCCGGGGCUU